AAUAAAUGACGUCGUUGAUUUUUUUUCACAUGUUUGACCAUUUGUCUUAUUCAAAAAAUUUACGUAAUUAUAAUUUAUUUUGUUAUGAGUUGUUUUAUCACUCAUGGUACUUUAAGUGUAAUUUAUAUCUUAUAUAUUUGCAUAAAAUUUUUGAAUAAGACGAAUGGUCAAAAAUAUGAGAAAAAGUUAACAGCGUCAUUUAUU
rfam:Oryza sativa (indica cultivar-group) chromosome 9, whole genome shotgun sequence.